rnacentral:lncRNA from 1 species
UACCAAUUCAUUGACUACUUUGCUUAGUGAAGACAAGGAGAAGGAGGAGGAGAAAUGAGGGAAGACUGAAUACAAGUUGGUUAUGGAGACAAGAUGGAGAACAUUUCCAAUGGUAGAACCCAUGUGCGGAACCCAUCAACAGAUGGAUUUCAAUCUUUUGUUUUCUGUUGCUGUGGAAAAUACCAUGAACAAAAAAGUAACUUGGAAAGGAAAGAGUUUAUUUAGCUUACACUUCCAGCUAACAACAAGUUCAUAACUGAGGGAAGUAAGGACUGGAAAUCGAGCAGGAACCAAAACAGAAUCCAUGGAGAACACAGCUUACUGGCUUAGUCCCUCCUGCUCACACUCAAUUAGUUUUUUUUAAAUAAGCAAGGAUCAUGUACCCAAUGGUGACACCAUCUAUGGUGAGCUAAGUCCAUUUGUGUCAAUCAACAUGAAUACAAUUCUAUGAAGGUAUGGUCAAAGGCCAAUCUGAUCUGGACAUUCCUUCUAUUGAGACCCCUCCCCAUUCUCAGAUGACCCAUGGCUGUGUCAAGUUGACAGUAAAAAUCCAACCAGGACACCAGGUACAUGUGGCAUUCUCCAAAGUGACAUAUGGAGCAUGGGACCCAGUCUCACACCAGUGGAUUAGCUGCCAUUGUGUCGUUCUUCCAAAGUUGUAUCUCUGUG